GACGAACCGUCCUAACGUUAUUCGGAAUCACUGGGCUUAAAGGGCGCGUAGGCGGACGAGCAAGUCCGGAGUGAAAUCCUUCGGCUUAACCGGAGAAGUGCUUUGGAUACUGCUCGUCUUGAGGGAGGUAGGGGCAUGUGGAACUUCUGGUGGAGCGGUGAAAUGCGUUGAUAUCAGAAGGAACGCCGGUGGCGAAAGCGACGUGCUGGCCCUCUUCUGACGCUGAGGCGUGAAAGCUAGGGGAGCAAACGGG
rnacentral:rRNA from 1 species